ACUAAAACCCAAGCUGCUGGGGAACUCCAGUGAGGGAUUUUCUCGAUUCUUUGAAGGAAGACCCACCACAAAUCUAGAUGGAAGCCCAUAUAAAAGGGCACAGAAGAAGAAGGUUUUACAUGCUUGCCCUCUCAACUGCUCCCUAUAUUAUAUUGCACAAAUAAAGAAGAUGGUAUGGUGGUCUAUUCAGAGGGCCAUGGAUGGAUUUCUGCCUGCACCGGUCAUAAGGAUGGAAAGUCCACAGUCACUCUAGUCAGAAUGGAAUCAGAAGAUGGACCAUAGAUCUGGUGCAAAGAAAAAGUCACCGUCAAUAUCGCCAUAGAAUUGUAUUUGAGAACAAUUAAUAAAAUCUUAGUGUUUCCAUA